rnacentral:rRNA from 1 species
UAUAGAUGGAUCCGCGCUGCAUUAGCUAGUUGGUAAGGUAACGGCUUACCAAGGCAACGAUGCAUAGCCGACCUGAGAGGGUGAUCGGCCACACUGGAACUGAGACACGGUCCAGACUCCUACGGGAGGCAGCAGUAGGGAAUCUUCCGCAAUGGGCGAAAGCCUGACGGAGCAACGCCGCGUGAGUGAUGAAGGUCUUCGGAUCGUAAAACUCUGUUAUUAGGGAAGAACAUAUGUGUAAGUAACUGUGCACAUCUUGACGGUACCUAAUCAGAAAGCCACGGCUAACUACGUGCCAGCAGCCGCGGU